GAUGAAGAACGUAGCGAAAUGCGAUACGUAAUGUGAAUUGCAGAAUUCAGUGAAUCAUCGAGUCUUUGAACGCACAUUGCGCCCCCUGGUAUUCCGAAGGGCAUGCCUGUUCGAGCGUCAUUAUCACCCCUCAAGCCCCGGCUUGGUGUUGGGCUCUCGGUGGUCGUCUCCGACCACCCGUCUCAAAGAUAGUGACGGCGUCCCAGAGGGAACCGGUACGAGGAGCUUUCACGAGCAUGUACGCGGGACGACUCUGCGGGCGACGGUCUUAUUUACUUUAUAUACAAGUGUUGACCUCGGAUCAGGUAGGAAUACCCGCUGAACUUAAGCAUAUCAAUAAGCGGAGGA
rnacentral:misc_RNA from 1 species